rnacentral:rRNA from 1 species
UACGUAGGGGGCAAGCGUUGUCCGGAAUUAUUGGGCGUAAAGAGCUCGUAGGUGGUCUGUCACGUCGGAUGUGAAAACUCGGGGCUCAACCCCGAGCCUGCAUUCGAUACGGGCAGACUAGAGUUCGGUAGGGGAGACUGGAAUUCCUGGUGUAGCGGUGAAAUGCGCAGAUAUCAGGAGGAACACCGGUGGCGAAGGCGGGUCUCUGGGCCGAUACUGACGCUGAGGAGCGAAAGCGUGGGGAGCGAACAGG